rnacentral:SRP_RNA from 1 species
UCGUGCUAGACGGGGAGUUAGCGGUGCCCUGUAACCCGAGAUCCGCUUAUGCGGGGUUGAAAACCCUUCACAGGAAUCGUGAUUUCGGCGUGAUCUCUUGUCAUCUUUGGGUCGAAGUGGACCGCACGUGACAGACGCUUAUGAACCCCGUCAGAUCCGGGAGGAAGCAGCGGUAAGUAAGGCAGCCUGUGUCGUGUUGAUAUCUAUUUUAGCUCAAGGUGUUAAUGUCAUCUCGUUCACGCUUCAAGUAAGGAUGCGCGA